GCAUAUCAAUAAGCGGAGGAAAAGAAACCAACAGGGAUUGCCCUAGUAACGGCGAGUGAAGCGGCAACAGCUCAAAUUUGAAAUCUGGCCCUCGGGUCCGAGUUGUAAUUUGUAGAGGAUGCUUUUGGUGAGGUACCUUCCGAGUUCCCUGGAACGGGACGCCAUAGAGGGUGAGAGCCCCGUCUGGUUGGAUACCGAUCCUCUGUAAAGCUCCUUCGACGAGUCGAGUAGUUUGGGAAUGCUGCUCUAAAUGGGAGGUAUAUGUCUUCUAAAGCUAAAUAUUGGCCAGAGACCGAUAGCGCACAAGUAGAGUGAUCGAAAGAUGAAAAGCACUUUGAAAAGAGAGUUAAAAAGUACGUGAAAUUGUUGAAAGGGAAGCGCUCAUGACCAGACUUGGGCUUGGUUGAUCAUCCAGGGUUCUCCCUGGUGCACUCUUCCAGCUCAGGCCAGCAUCAGUUCGCCGCGGGGGAUAAAGGCUUUGGGAAUGUGGCUCCCCCGGGAGUGUUAUAGCCCACUGCGUAAUACCCUGUAGUGGACUGAGGUUCGCGCAUCUGCAAGGAUGCUGGCGUAAUGGUCAUCAGCGACCCGUCUUGAAACACGGACC
rnacentral:rRNA from 5 species